rnacentral:rRNA from 1 species
CGGGAGGCAGCAGUCGUGUAAUUAUUGUAUCAAUGGGCGAAAGCAUGACUCAUGCCAUGCAGCGUGAGUGAAGAACGUCGUCGUAUGUUAAGCACUUUAAGUUGGGAGGAAUCGCAUUGACUCUAAUAAGUUAGUGUUGUGACGUUACGGACAGAAAAAACACGCGCUAUCUCUGUGCCCAGCAGGCGCGGUAAUACAGAGGGUGCGAGCGUUCAUCAAUAUUACUGGGUGUAAAGCGCGCGUAGGUUGUUUGUUUAUGUAAGAUGUGAAAUCCCCGCGCUCAACCUGGGAACUACAUUCAAAACUGACUGCAUAGAGUAUGGUAGAGGGUGGGGGAAUUUCUUGUGUAGCGGUGAAAUGCGUAGAUAUAGGAAGGAACACCUGUGGCGAAGGCGACCACCUGGACUAAUACUGACAUUGAGGUGAGAAAGCGUGGGGAGCACACAGGAUUAGAUACCCUGGUAGUCCCCCCCGUAAACGAUGUCAACUAGCCGUGGGGAGCCUUGAGCUUUUAGUGGCGCAGCUAACGCAUUAAGUUGACCGCCUGGGGAGUACGGCCGCAAGGUUAAAACUCAAAUGAAUUGACGGGGGCCCGCACAAGCGGUGGAGCAUGUGGUUUAAUUAGAAGCAACGCGAAGAACCUUACCAGGCCUUGACAUCCAAUGAACUUUCUAAAGAUAGAUUGGUUCCUUGGGGAACAUUGAAACAGGUGCCGCAUGGCGGUUGUCAGCUCGCGUCUUGAGAUGUUGGGUUAAGUCCCGAAACGAGCGCAACCCUUGUCCUUAGUUACCAGCACGUAAUGGUGGGCACUCUAAGGAGACUGCCGGUGACAAACCGGAGGAAGGUGGGGAUGACGUCAAGUCAUCAUGGCCCUUACGGCUUGGGCUACACACGUGCUACAAUGGUCGGUACAGAGGGUUGCCAAGCCGCGAGGUGGAGCUAAUCCCACAAAACCGAUCGUAGUCCGGAUCGCAGUCUGCAACUCGACUGCGUGAAGUCGGAAUCGCUAGUAAUCGCGAAUCAGCAGGCGCGGUCCCCGG